UGGAGUAUGUGGUUUAAUUCGAUGCAACGCGAAGAACCUUACCUAGGUUUGACAUCCGGAGACCUCCCGAAAGGAAGGGUGCCCUCGGGAAUCCGAGACAGGUGCUGCAUGGCUGUCGUCAGCUCGUGCCGUGAGGUGUUGGGUUAAGUCCCGCAACGAGCGCAACCCCCUAUUGCCAGUUGCUACCAGGUAAUGCUGGGCACUCUGGUGAGACUGCCCCGGUUAACGGGGAGGAAGGUGGGGACGACGUCAAGUCAUCAUGGCCCUUACGCCUAGGGCUACACACGCACUACAAUGGCGCAUACAAAGGGCAGCGAUACCGCGAGGUGGAGCCAAUCCCAAAAAGUGCGUCCCAGUCCGGAUUGCAGUCUGCAACUCGACUGCAUGAAGUUGGAAUCGCUAGUAAUUCGAGAUCAGCAUGCUCGGGUGAAUGCGUUCCCGGGCCUU
rnacentral:rRNA from 1 species